CUCAGAUCUUUAAAUCGCAUUAAUUUUAGCAGAAAUCCACUGACAAUUUCUCUUUCUUAAUAAAAAAAAUAGCACUUAAUAUUGUCAUCUACGUUGUGCACAUUUUUAGAUGCAUUCAGAGCAGCAUUUGUUGUAAGAAGAUUUUGUUUCGACGAGUCAUUUUCUUCAGCCAACCUCAAAAUUUGAUCCUGUAAUAAAAGGCACAAGUGUUAGAUUCUCAAAUGCAAGGACUAAUAAUCCAAAGCAAAAGUUCACCGAAGUAAGAUUUUAUUUAGAUUAGAUUUCAAAAAUCAGUCAUGUAAAAUCCUGAAAGAUGUGUUGUUACACAUAAAAGAUACAGAAGAAAUACUCAUAAGUUCAACAAAAUGCACGUAACACAUUUCUUCCAUCAUCAGUUAAAUGAAAAUUUCAAUAUAUGAAUAACAAGCAAUCGCAACUUAAUAAGAGCUUAGAUUAGAAUUUUUUAGUGUAAAAUACCCAAAAAGAUUUUAAAAAAGAUUCAAUUAACCUCCCAAUUAAACAAAAUUGCAGUUGGAUAUUAAAUCGUCACAAUUACAUACUGCGAGAAUCCAUAAUUAGAGGUAAUCAAUUAGAGAU
rnacentral:lncRNA from 1 species